GAAAGGCUUCGGCCGGACAGGGAUGGGCAUGCGGCGCAUUAGGCAGUAGGCGGGGUAACGGCCCACCUAACCGACGAUGCGUAGGGGUUCUGAGAGGAAGGUCCCCCACACUGGUACUGAGACACGGACCAGACUCCUACGGGAGGCAGCAGUGAGGAAUAUUGGUCAAUGGUCGGGAGACUGAACCAGCCAAGCCGCGUGAGGGAUGAAGGUACAGAGUAUCGUAAACCUCUUUUGUCAGGGAACAAAGGCGGGGACGUGUCCCCGGAUGAGUGUACCUGAAGAAAAAGCAUCGGCUAACUCCGUGCCAGCAACCGCGGUAAUACGGAGGAUGCGAGCGUUAUCCGGAUUUAUUGGGUUUAAAGGGUGCGCAGGCGGUCUGUUAAGUCAGCGGUCAAAGCCCGGGGCUCAACCCCGGCCCGCCGUUGAAACUGGCAGUCUCGAGUUGGAGAGAAGUAUGCGGAAUGCGCGGUGUAGCGGUGAAAUGCAUAGAUAUCGCGCAGAACUCCGAUUGCGAAGGCAGCAUGCCGGCUCCACACUGACGCUGAGGCACGAAAGCGUGGGUAUCGAACAGGAUUAGAUACCCUGGUAGUCCACGCAGUAAACGAUGAAUGCUGGCUGUCCGGGGGGAUUGACCCCUGG
rnacentral:rRNA from 1 species